GGCAGAGAAUGGAGACACAGAAUCUGAAACAGUCUCCAGGCUCUGAACUAUCAGCACAGAGCCCGACGUAGGGCUCAAAAUCACAAACCAUGAGAUCAUGGCCUGAGCCAAAGUCAGAUGUUUAACCAACUGAGACACCUAGGUGCCACUGUCACCCUGCUUUCUUUAUCCCCUUGGGAUAGACACUAAGGUCAACCCUCAAGUUGACCCUGAGACCACUCCACAAAAUACUCCCUACAUGCCAAUCUCUACCUCAUAUCUGUUUCCAGAGAACCCAACCUAAAAUAGUUAUAGCAUUUUUUAAAAUUUUAAUUAAUUGAUUUAUUGAUUGAUCAAGUAAGUAUGUGGGGCUUGAAUUCAUUCACGACUCAGAGAUCAAGAGUCACAUGCUCUACCAACUGAGCCAGGCAGUUAUAACUGCAGUUAUAACCGUUUUUUUAAAUACAUCACUAUUGUCAUGUGAUCUCCCCCAAAGUCUGAGAGCUAAAGGAAAAGGCAAUUGAGAAAGGAACAGGUGCUGGUAAACUUGUUUAAAUCUGCUUUUGUUUUAUAAGCGCAGAUUCCCUUAUUAUUUUUCAAUAUCUUUCUUUCUUAAGAUUAUUGAUUCUUUUAAAAAUUUUAUUAAGAAGGCAAUGGGGUGGUCUUUAAAAAUUAUCGAAAUGCAUUCUUUUUAUUUUAUAGAAUGGGCUAUGGAGGCUCGGUGUGUGUGUGUGUGUGUGUGUGUGUGUGUGUGUGUGUGUGUCCUGUUCAGCUCAUUCACUCAGUCAACAGAUAUUUAUCAGGACUGGAGCUGGACUCCUUGUAGGUUGUGCAGAAUGUACAUACAGAUGCAUGGAGAGUCACACUGAAGCCAUGCGGCUUCCUGUUGUGACAUCACUAGUUCUGGAGCUCAGUGAGAUUCUCUGGCCCAAUGGUCACAUGCUCCCUCUCCCCCUGGUGUCUUACCUGUAUGAGGAACUCAGCUUACUUAGCUCCUUUUAUUUCUCUCGGACUGGGAAACCACACAAAUCUGGUGGUGGAUCCACCACCAAAUCAUGACUUAAAUUCUGACAUGUCCCUUGCAAAUGGGAGAGAGGAUGAGCAGAAACUCACAUCUGUCAGACACAGUUACCUGUUAUCAUCUCUGCUAAAGACCAGGAGGUUGAAGAGCUGGAAAUUAAUGGGAUGCCCUGUCAAGGGCAUUUUUCACCCAAGCCCUGUCCUUCCUGCCAUGGAGAUCUGCCUGUCUCUUCCAAGAUCUAGUGUCUUCAAACCUCCCGACAAUAGGAGAGCAUCUGUAUGUUAUAAUUUUAUUUCGAGUUGUGAGCUUUUCCUUUAUCACCAAAGAGUUCCUGGAAAAACACCAAAUUAGUUCCACUUUACUGAAUAACAGAAUGUGUUUGCCAUCCACUGUAUAUUUUUAACCAAUAGUUGUUUCUGGCCACCUUCUAUUGGUGUUGUAUUGCCCUGAGUUGAAUACUGAAAGAGCAUAUGUCUUAGUCUUUGCCGGUGGUGAAUGUUUGGAGAGAAAAAAUAAGCUCAAAUGGACAAAAUGAGAAAAAUAAAUGCUUUUGUUGUAUCUUUUUUUGCUAAGUU
rnacentral:lncRNA from 1 species